GGUGGGGCAUCUAUAAUGCAGUCGAGCGAGUCGCUUCGGGGGCUAGCGGCGGACGGGUGAGUAACACGUAGGCAACCUGCCCGUAAGCUCGGGAUAACAUGGGGAAACUCUUGCUAAUACCGGAUAGGGUCUUCUCUCGCAUGAAAUGAGACGGAAAGGUGGCGCAAGCUACCACUUGCUGAUGGGCCUGCUGCGCAUUAACUAGUUGGGGGGGUAACGGCCUACCAAGGCGACGAUGCCUAACCCACCUGAAAGGGUGACCGGCCACACUGGGACUGACACACCGGCCACACUCCUACGGGAGGCACUCCUACGGAAUUUUCCACAAUGGACGAAAGUCUGAUGGAGCAACGCCGCGUGAACGAUGAACGUCUUCGGAUUGUAAAGUUCUGUUGUCAGAGACUAACAAGUACCGUUCGAACAGGGCGGUACCUUGACGGUACCUGACUAGAAAGCCACGGCUAACUACGUGCCAGCAACCGCGGUAAUACGUACGUGGCAAGCGUUGUCCGGAAUUAUUGGGCGUAAAGCGCGCGCAGGCGGCUAUGUAAAUCUGGUGUUAUAGCCCUGGGCUCAACCCCCGGCUGCGUAUCCCAGACUGUGUAACUUGAGUGCAGAAGACGUAAAGCUGCUAUAUCCACGUGUAGCGAUUUACAUGCGUAGAGAUUGUGGAGGCAACACCAUUGGCGAAAGCAGCUUUCUCGUCUGUACUGACUCUGUAUGUACUAAGCGCUGGAGGAGCAAACGAUGAGAUACGCCGGGGAUAUUCACACCCGG
rnacentral:rRNA from 1 species